GGGGGCGUAGCUCAGCUGGUUAGAGCGCCGGCCUGUCACGUCGGAGGUCGCGGGUUCGAGCCCCGUCGCUCCCGCCA
rnacentral:tRNA from 1 species